ensembl:misc_RNA Y_RNA Y RNA
CGCUGGUCUGAGGGCAGUGGUAUUUACAACUAAUUGAUCACAGCCAGUUACAGAUUUCUUUGUUCCUUCUCCACUCCCGUUGCUUCACUUGACUAGCCUAAA